GUAUUUGCAUAUACCAUGGCUAAUGUAAGCAAACUAUGUAUAAAAGCCAGCUCUGUAAUACACUCAUUUGAGCGUCUUGUCAACCAUCCUGUUGUCCGUGUCUUAUUGUUGACAAUGAUUCUCCAUCAACAUUGAUUAUGGUGACCGAGGGAUCGAGAACCGAGGGGAUUAGAGUCCAUUACAGCAUUAACCCUUUCAGCUUGGUGUCAGAAGUGGGAUGGAUGGAUCAGCAAAACCAUUUGCGG